AGGGGGGCAAAUCUAGGAGGCGACCCCGCAUCGGAUGCCCGUCCCGGCGGCGCGCGGCGGACGGCGGGGUUCGUGCUCUGGAGAGCCCAGCCGCGCGGACUGAGCGUGUCUGCCGCGUCGCUGUGCGCAGCAAUAGGUGAUGGGGAUGCGGAGAUAUUUUAUUAUUUAGCGACAGCUAAGGGAGAGCUUUUAGGAUGCUGUGGGGCUGGCUGGUUCCUCGCGUCUCUAAAAUUCCCAUUUGCCUCGGGCUACGACCUGUUAUUUGACCUUUAGACACCCCCGAAGAUAGCAGAGUUUUCCUUUUUCAAAACAGUGCUAAAGCCAAGCGCUGGGAUGGCUGCGCGGAGCGGGGCGGCCGGGGCGCGCUCAGCCCUCACGUGGGCGCGGGAGCUUCGGGCGGGGUGAGCCUGGGGUGACACGCGUUCAUUUUUAUUUCAGUUGAAGACAUUUGAUGGUUGUAGGUCUUUCUCUGGUUUGUUGCAUCACCACAGCUCACCCCUUAAAACAGUAAUUCAAGAUGUAAGUAAAAGUGUUUUCAUUUUUAUUGAUCCUGCUAACAUCUUUCAUUACCCAACACGUAACCACAACAAAUGAUUGCUCAUUUGAUACGGAGAAUUUUAUCGACGCUCUCUCCGGUCGGGGCGCGAAUCCUAAAUCCCGGCGGCGUUAGGCGCGGAGAGAGGCGCGGUGCAGCGCGGCUGCGGAGAGGGGCAAACGCUGCCCGAGCCCCUCGGGGCCCUGCCUGGCCGCAGCUCCCUGCCCUCCGGGUGCCCGCCGACGGGGCCCGGGCCGCCUUCCACCGGCGCUCCCUUCCCGAAAAGCGGGGAGCGGCUCCGGGGGGCACGGCAGAGCAUCUCCCGCGGGCGCCGGGCCCGACGGGGCGCGCCGGGCCGGGCUCGGGGCCGCGGCAGGAGGGGGGAGUGCGCGACCCCUGCCCGCCGAUUUCGUUCCCUCACAACGAAACCCAACAAGUAGCGGGAGGCGAAACGGCCGCGUUUUCCCGGCCCCGCCUCGGGAAAGGCCGGCUGCCUUCUCCCUCUUUUUUUUCCUUUUCCCCCCCUUUAUUCCAAUAUGCUAAAUGAAUAAAAUUUAAAGGGAAAAAAAUAUAGCAUUUUGCUAAAAAAAAAAAUAAUUAAUCAAACCGUUGGGGUUCAUAGAGGAUUCCAAACGAUUUGAAACAGCAGACCCUGUUCCAUUUACAAGAUCCCUUUCAGUUUACAGUGCGAAAGGUUUUUCAACUAUCAAACAAAUGCUACUGAUUUAAGGCUCUUUGAGAAUAUUGCUUUUGUCCUUAAUGCUAGAGUAGAAGGCAAGUUUAUGAGGGAGAGGCUCGAAUAAUUGGUUUCGAUGCAAGAGACCUACAGUAAAAUUAAACUAGGUGGAUUCUUUAUUAAAUGAUUUUCGGUCUUCUGUGUUUUUAUGAAAAUAAAAGGGAGCACUUUGUCAUUUUUAACAA